UAGAUACCCUGGUAGUCCGCACAGUCAACUAUGUGCACUAGAUGUCUGGUCGACAGACCGGGUGUCGAAGCAAACGCGAUAAGUGCACCGCCUGGGGAGUAUGCCCGCAAGGGUGAAACUCAAAGGAAUUGACGGGGGCCCGCACAAGCGGUGGAGCAUGUGGUUUAAUUCGAUGGUACGCGAGGAACCUUACCUGGGUUUGACAUACACAGGAAUUAUAUAGAGAUAUGUAAGCGCAGCAAUGCGCCUG
rnacentral:rRNA from 1 species